UACGGAGGGUGCAAGCGUUGUCCGGAAUUAUUGGGCGUAAAGAGCUCGUAGGCGGUUUGUCGCGUCUGCUGUGAAAACGCGAGGCUCAACCUCGCGCCUGCAGUGGGUACGGGCAGACUGGAGUGCGGUAGGGGAGAUUGGAAUUCCUGGUGUAGCGGUGGAAUGCGCAGAUAUCAGGAGGAACACCGAUGGCGAAGGCAGAUCUCUGGGCCGUAACUGACGCUGAGGAGCGAAAGCGUGGGGAGCGAACAGG
rnacentral:rRNA from 1 species